GUCUAUGGCCAUACCAGCCCGAACAUGCCUGAUCUCAUCUGAUCUCGGAAGCUAAGCAGGGUUGGGCCUGGUUAGUACUUGGAUGGGGAAAAGACCAUCUGUGCAGAAGUAGCCAUCGGCU
rnacentral:rRNA from 1 species